rnacentral:rRNA from 1 species
UACGGGGGGAGCAAGCGUUGUUCGGAUUUACUGGGCGUAAAGGGCGCGUAGGCGGCCAGCACAAGUCAGUUGUGAAAUCUCCGAGCUUAACUCGGAAAGGUCAACUGAUACUGUGCGGCUAGAGUGCGGAAGGGGCAACUGGAAUUCUUGGUGUAGCGGUGAAAUGCGUAGAGAUGUGGAGGAACACCGAUGGCGAAGGCAGCCUUCUGGGCCAAUACUGACGCUCAUGCACGAAAGCGUGGGGAGCAAACAGG